AUGAAGGGAAGUCGGCCAGCUAUUAAGUCAAAGAAGUCAUCAACCUAUUACCGCCAUCAUGAAGUUGUCGUCAUUGACGUAGAGUCCUCCAUUCUCACACCACUCUCGAGCACUCAUACCAACCCCGUCUACUAUAGCAUAGCAUUGAAACAAAACAACAUACCGGGUAACAGGGAGAUGGGUUCCUACCUCAGGCAUUCUAAUCAACUACAAGAUUCAAUAACACUACUGGAGGGAUUGUUGAAAUGGGGCUACUACAUGCAAAUAAAACAUACAUAUGAAAAACAUGGUCAAAGUGAACUUGCAUGGUAA
rnacentral:rRNA from 1 species